ACUCCAAGUACACGCACAUGGGCAGGGCAAGGUACUCCAAGUACACGCACAUGGGCAGGGCAAGGUACUCCAAGUACACGCACAUGGGCAGGGCAAGGUACUCCAAGUACACGCACAUGGGCAGGGCAAGGUACUCCAAGUACACGUACAUGGGCAGGGCAAGGUACUCCAAGUACACGUACAUGGGCAGGGCAAGGUACUCCAAGUACACGUACAUGGGCAGGGCAAGGUACUCCAAGUACACGUACAUGGGCAGGGCAAGGUACUCCAAGUACACGUACAUGGGCAGGGCAAGGUACUCCAAGUACACGUACAUGGGCAGGGCAAGGUACUCCAAGUACACGUACAUGGGCAGGGCAAGGUACUCCAAGUACACGCACA